GAGUUUGAUCCUGGCUCAGGAUGAACGCUAGCGGCAGGCUUAACACAUGCAAGUCGAGGGGUAGCAGGGAGCUUGCUCCGCUGACGACCGGCGAACGGGUGCGUAACGCGUAUAGAAUCUACCUCUUACUAAGGGAUAGCCCAGAGAAAUUUGGAUUAAUAUCUUAUAGUAUGUUAACUUGGCAUCAAGAUAACAUUAAAGGUUACGGUAAGAGAUGACUAUGCGUCCUAUUAGCUAGAUGGUGUGGUAACGGCACACCAUGGCAACGAUAGGUAGGGGCCCUGAGAGGGGGAUCCCCCACACUGGUACUGAGACACGGACCAGACUCCUACGGGAGGCAGCAGUGAGGAAUAUUGGACAAUGGAGGCAACUCUGAUCCAGCCAUGCCGCGUGCAGGAAGACUGCCCUAUGGGUUGUAAACUGCUUUUAUACAGGAAGAAACACUCUCACGUGUGAGAGCUUGACGGUACUGUAAGAAUAAGGAUCGGCUAACUCCGUGCCAGCAGCCGCGGUAAUACGGAGGAUCCAAGCGUUAUCCGGAAUCAUUGGGUUUAAAGGGUCCGUAGGUGGAUAAUUAAGUCAGAGGUGAAAUCCUGCAGCUCAACUGUAGAAUUGCCUUUGAUACUGGUUGUCUUGAGUUAUUAUGAAGUAGUUAGAAUAUGUAGUGUAGCGGUGAAAUGCAUAGAUAUUACAUAGAAUACCAAUUGCGAAGGCAGAUUACUAAUAAUAUACUGACACUGAUGGACGAAAGCGUGGGGAGCGAACAGGAUUAGAUACCCUGGUAGUCCACGCCGUAACGAUGGUCACUAGCUGUUCGAACUUCGGUUUGAGUGCUAAGCGAAGUGAUAGUGACCCACUGGGAGUACGUUCGCAGAUGAACUCAAAGAUGACGNNNG
rnacentral:rRNA from 1 species